UUGUUGAAAAACCCACCACACCGGAGAGAGAGAGACAGAGCAUACCGCACGGGAGAGAGAGCAUGAACGGGUGGACGAUGAUGGUGGCUUCGAGGUAACAGUGAGGGUUUACAAGCUAGAGGAGCACCAGCCACCUGAUCUAGGGUUUCUGGAAGGGUUGGAUGUCUGGCAACAACUCCUCCGACGAAGGUUUGCCUGUAAAUUAGGGUUUAUUGUUGCUUUUCUGUUUACCGUCGCUGAAAAGCUCUGAAACCCGAUGACCAACUGAUUUGAGCUUGUGGGUACGUUACAGUAACAAGAUGGAGGCGGCGUGAGCUACGAUUAUUACGGGUCUCUGUUUGACUCCGUCAAGAAUUCCGAACUCCAGCGAAGCUUCAACGACUUCUCCGGUGACCGAUAUGGCUGUUGUUGUGUAAGUUUGAUGCGUUGUUUGCAGUGGUUUGUUGGUAGUUGUUGUGAUUUUAAGUUCAUAAUCUGGUUAUAUGAUUUGUAUUAGUUCUUUGUUGAGAUUAUAGUUUGAUUUUAGUAUUAAAUGAUAUUUUCGAAUCCAGAUCUCUAUUAUCUUACUGUGAACGAACUAUUUGAUUUUACUUGUAAAUGUAUAUUGGUCAGUGAAUCUCGCUAUUUGGUCUAAGCUGUCAUCCGUUUUUUUUGCGUUGAUUAUCUAAAUUCAAUGUUCGUAUUUUCAGAUGUAGAGGAGUAUAUGGGUUUAAUAACAUUUAUUACGAUUUUGGUAUGAGGUGAUGUUUCAGAAUCCAGAUAUGUGUGCAGUUGGCUAAGUAUGCAGCUUUAACACCGCCGUUAAUUAAAGUAAGGCCUUAUCGAGUCAGAUGGGAAGCAACGGAGAGAGAAAGGGCAAAGUCGGAUGGCGGAGUUACCGCGUUACUUCGACAAUAACCUCACUCCAGUGACGACGACAUGCGACGGGUAGGACUUCUAAGAUUCCGACUUACCUUUGUUGGUCAUAUUGUGAUUUAAGCUUCAGAAUCGAUUUGCAGUAUUUCAUCUCAGUAAAUCAAUUUUAGCAGCUAUCUGGUUAGGCUUUUUAUAAGGUAUUUUAAGUUGUUAGUUCCUUUGAUUAAAUAAUAGAAUGGAUUCGAGUGUCAAAAUUAUUUAGUAAAUGUUUUUGCAACUUCUACACCCACUGCAACUGAACAUCGUGAUGUGAUUUGGAGUGACCGAAGAAGUAUAUUGUUAAGGUUUGUGAGAAACAACGUGUGCUUUCAUUCAAAAAAAGUGAGGAAUUAGUCAAAUCUACACAUGUUGCUAGGGAUGAGCUCGGUAUCGACAGGUACCGAAAGUACCGGUACCGAAAAUCCUUAAAAGUGGGUACCGAUACCGGUACCGAUUAUACCCAAUACGCUUCGGUACCGGUACCGGUAUUUGAGGGUAAUAACCGAUAAAUACCGGUACCGAACCGGUACCGAAAAUGCCAAAAGUUGGUGCUGAAUCGGUACCGAAAAUGUACCCGGUUUGGUAAAUUCGGUACCGGUACCGGUUCCGGGUCCAAUUUGCUCAUCCCUACAGUGUUGCUUGGUAGGAAGCUUCCUCAAUAACAAUUUUUGAUUCAUAUAAACUCGAUCUGUUAAGUUUGAUUGUUGGACAUGACAACUAUGGUGCGGUUUCCAUAAAACGGGUACUGGUAUUAUGGGCCAAGUGAAGCUCCAGGGAUUAACAAAUGGAUCGGUCGUUGACCUUCUGAGCAUUGGACAUAUUGAGUUGGAUUCAAAUGAGAAGCACUAGGGCAGGACACUGGUGGUUCAUCACUUUGGAUCUCAGGGUCAGACUUGGUACAAGACUUCACGGGAAAGGCGAAACGCGUGUCAAUGGUUAAAGCAUCAGACGUUAUUGGUCUGCUAAUAUUGCUCCAACUAACGGUUGCUCAGAUUGUAGUUACAAAGAACCAUGUUUGAACUGUUGAUAGCUUAUUAUGUUAAUUGUACUUACAUAGGUUGUAGCACAACAAAGGACAUGAUAAAUGCUUGCAACCAUACCUGAAUAAAUAAAUCACAAU
rnacentral:lncRNA from 1 species